UGACCAUGGCGAAGAACACCCCGAUGGUGCUGGCGUUGGUGGCUCUAUCAAUACAAUAUGGCACCAUUCAGAGUAUCCCUGUCGAUGAUGAGACCAAAGGAUCAAGAGAAACUCUCCAAAAUCGUAUAGCUAAACAAUGGAAAAUGGGAGCACCAAUCAAACUCACGGAAGAACAAAAGAAGAGCAUGACGUUGGCAGAUUACAACAUAUUGGUGAGAGAGAUAGUUGAGGAUUCUAACGGAUCUCAUUUG